ACAGCAAUCACUGCGUCGUGUGUCAAACUGAAUUUUAUCAAAUAUCAGUCAAAGAAUAUGAAUUAUUGUAAAGCGCAGCUCGACGGUAUUCUCAACGUGAACAAAGCGAUUACAGCAACCACUGCGUUGGGUGUCAAACUGAAAAUUUCAUUUUAUCAUCAUCAUCAGUUUGGAUGCGGGUUUUUUAGGAUUGAAUCCAGUUGCCGUCCCGAUCAGGUGCACAAUUCGGAGGAAACCUGCGGUUUCCUAGGGGAUUCGUACAUCAUCGAAAAGGACAACGAAGUUGACGGUUACCGCAAGUACUUCGUUUCAGGUUAAAAGCAUGAUCAAUUCAAUUACGGAAAGACUACCCAGUUUUGGCAUACCGGAUGGAGAUGGCAGGAAUUUGUUGGCCUCAUCAUCGCUGGAAGCAGAAAAAAUUUCUACAUCACCAUGACGACGGUUGUUCACCGUCUUGGGCAACCGAUGUUUUUCCACAGAGCUUCAGCAACCUAUCCACCUUUCAGCCAAUUGUUCCACCCGUGUCACCGGCGGACCCCGUUCCGAUAUCACCCUCUUCGCCAGUUUCCAGCCCAAAGCCUCAAAUAGCAUCUUUGUCGAAGAUGACUAAAUUUCUAAACUAUAAUUAACGAAAAUAAAUCUAAGUUUAAAAGUUGGGUGAUAAGCAAAUUGUUUCGUAAAGGAGAAUCGUUUGCUGGUGGUGGUCAUGUGUCCUCACCUAUGUGCCCCACCGUAGAGCCGGAAAGCGAAGACUGUGAUAAUAUUAGGAAUAAUAAAAAAAGUUCUAUGUGUAUCAGAGCAGAGCGACGGUACUAAAGAUGACUAUCAGCAGUGACCAAUCGUAAUUGUAACUCCGAAACCGAGCAGUCACACAUUAGAUGUUCAGGACUGUUCUAUUCGUGGAAGUGUAUACUUGCGUUAACGCGAAGGUUCGAAAUCGCUCAGUGUUGGAGGAGCAAAAAGUGGUGAUCGGUGAACCAGUCAUAAUUUCGUGUUUAAUGAUAUGAUCGACAUACGGUUGUAUAUUCCUAAAAUCGAAGUGAUAUUUCGCCGUUCGCGAUACGGAAGCUAUCGGUCGCAGUGCGAGGAAAUUUUUUUGGUGACGGAUGCGUUUGCGGGAAGACCUUGAAGUUUGACAGUAGCAGUUAACAGCAGAAUCAGUUGUCUUCGUCAACCUGGUAGGUUACUGGGCGAUGGAGCUGUGUCCUUCGACGUUGAUAGUAAGUGCAUUUAUUUUAUUUGCCUUGACUUAU